rnacentral:rRNA from 1 species
UUAAGCAUAUCAAUAAGCGGAGGAAAAGAACACAGGGAUUACCUCAGUAACGGCGAGUGAAGCGGUAAAAGCUCAAAUUUGAAAUCUGGCUCUUUUAGAGUCCGAGUUGUAAUUUGUAGAAGAUGCUUCGGGUGUGGUUCCGGUCUAAGUUCCUUGGAACAGGACGUCAUAGAGGGUGAGAAUCCCGUAUGUGACUGGAUACCUAUGCUCAUGUGAAGCUCUUUCGACGAGUCGAGUUGUUUGGGAAUGCAGCUCAAAAUGGGUGGUAUAUUUCAUCUAAAGCUAAAUAUUGGCCAGAGACCGAUAGCGCACAAGUAGAGUGAUCGAAAGAUGAAAAGCACUUUGGAAAGAGAGUUAAACAGUACGUGAAAUUGUUGAAAGGGAAGCGCUUGCAAUCAGACUUGCACUUGGUGUUCAUCGGGGUUUCUACCCCGUGUACUUCAUCAAGUUCAGGCCAGCAUCAGUUUGGGUGGUUAGAUAAAGGCUUAGAGAAUGUGGCCCUCUUCGGGGGGUGUUAUAGCUCUAGGUGCAAUGUAGCCUACCUGGACUGAGGACCGCGCUUCGGCUAGGAUGCUGGCGUAAUGGUUGUAAGCGACCCGUCUUGAAACACGGACCAAGGAGUGUACCUAAUAUGCGAGUGUUUGGGUGUUAAACCCAUACGCGUAAUGAAAGUGAACGGAGGUGAGAGCCCUUAAGGGUGCAUCAUCGACCGAUCCUGAUGUCUUCGGAUGGAUUUGAGUAAGAGCAUAUUGGGUGCGACCCGAAAGAUGGUGAUCUAUACGUGAAUAGGGUGAAGCCAGAGGAAACUCUGGUGGAGGCUCGCAGCGGUUCUGACGUGCAAAUCGAUCGUCAAUUU